AUUGAACGCUGGCGGCAGGCCUAACACAUGCAAGUCGAACGAGUGGCGGACGGGUGAGUAAUGUCUGGGAACCUGCCCGAUGGCGGGGGAUAACUACUGGAAACGGUAGCUAAUACCGCAUACCAUCCGAUGUCCCCAGCGGGGAUUAGCUAGUCGGUGGGGUAACGGCUCACCUAGGCGACGAUCCCUACCUGGUCUGAGCGGAUGACCAGCCACACUGGAACUGAGACACGGUCCAGACUCCUACGGGAGGCAGCAUUGGGGAAUAUUGCACAAUGGGCGCAAGCCUGAGGCAGCCAUGCCGCGUGUAUGAAGAAGGCCUUCGGGUUGUAAAGUACUUUCAGCGAGGAGGCGUUACUCGCAGAAGAAGCACCGGCUAACUCCGUGCCAGCAGCCGCGGUAAUUC
rnacentral:rRNA from 1 species